GUCAUGGUGGUCUAGCGGUUAGAACGCUGGCCUUGUAAUCCUGGGGUCCCGGGUUCGAUUCCCGGCGGUGCCC
rfam:Zootermopsis nevadensis contig9577, whole genome shotgun sequence.